GAGGUGGUGUGGCCGAGUGGUUUAGGGCGCUGGAUUUGAAAUCUGGAGGUCCCUAUCACUUCAAAUCCUCUAUCCUACCACUAGCUGGAUUUGUUCUCAGUAGUCCCAAGUUCAACUCCUUGGUCCCGCUUCG